CAGUGACCUAACAGGAAGUUGGGCUAUUCCCAACUGCCAGUGAUCUCUGAAGCGACUCUCAGGCUCCCUCUUUGCUCUAACAGACAGCAGCGACUUUAGGCUGGAUAACAGUCAAAUUCUUACCUCGCUCUUUCACUGCUAGUAAGAUCAGAUUACGUUUCUUUCAGUUAUUCUUCAAUCCCCAGUUUCUUGAUCUGUUUCUAAAAGAAGAAGUAGAGAAGAUAAAUCCUCUCUUCAAUACCUGGAAGGAAAAACAAAAUCACCUCAACUCCGUUUUGAAAAAAACAUUCCAAGAACUUUCAUCAGAGAUUUUACUUAGAUGAUUUACACAAUGAAGAAAGUACAUGCACUUUGGGUUUCCAUAUGCCUGCUGCUUAAUCUUGCCCCUGCUCCUCUUAAUGCUGAUUCUGAGGAAGAUGAAGAAUACACAAUUAUCACAGAUACUGAGCUGCCACCACUGAAACUUAUGCAUUCAUUUUGUGCAUUCAAGCCGGAUGAUGGCCCAUGUAAAGCAAUCAUGAAGAGAUUUUCUUCAAUAUUUUCACUCGACAGUGUGAAGAAUUUAUAUAUGGGGAUGUGGAGGAAAUCAGAAUCGAUUUGAAAGUCUGGAAGAGUGCAAAAAAGUGUGUACAAGAGGUAGGUUUCUGGGAAUCCUUAUUACUCAAGACGGAGAAAAGUAAUUUCAUGCUAUUUUAAUAUUUCCAAGG
rnacentral:lncRNA from 1 species